rnacentral:tRNA from 1 species
GCGCCCAUGGCCCAAUUGGAUAGGGCAUCUGACUACGGAUCAGAAGGUUGGAAGUUCGAAUCUUCCUGGGCGCA